AAGAUUAAUACAGUUAGGCUUCUAACCUAAAAUUAAUGAUUAAUUCAUUUAAUCUUU
rnacentral:tRNA from 1 species